rnacentral:rRNA from 1 species
GAUGAACGCUGGCGGCGUGCUUAACACAUGCAAGUCGAACGAAGCUACUUUAUUUGAUUUCCUUCGGGACUGAUUAUUUUGUGACUGAGUGGCGGACGGGUGAGUAACGCGUGGGUAACCUGCCUUGUACAGGGGGAUAACAGUUGGAAACGGCUGCUAAUACCGCAUGAGACCUGAGGGUGAAAGCGGGGGAUCGCAAGACCUCGCGCAAUUGGAGCGGCCGAUGCCCGAUUAGCUAGUUGGUGAGGUAAAGGCUCACCAAGGCGACGAUCGGUAGCUGGUCUGAGAGGACGACCAGCCACACUGGGACUGAGACACGGCCCAGACUCCUACGGGAGGCAGCAGUGGGGGAUAUUGGACAAUGGGGGAAACCCUGAUCCAGCGAUGCCGCGUGAGGGAAGAAGGUUUUCGGAUUGUAAACCUCUGUGGACAGGGACGAUAAUGACGGUACCUGUUUAGAAAGCCACGGCUAACUACGUG